UCAGAACUCCUGGCCUCAAGCGAUCUUCCCACCUUGGCCUCCCAAAGCACUGGAAUUAUAGGCGUGAGCCACUGUGCCUGGCCUAGGCUUGCUUUCUGUGUUAAAUUGUAUGUGGUUUACACUUCUUACCCUCUAGUUCCAUCUAAUAUAAUAGCCAGUUGCUUGAACUUUAUCUCUUUCACUAAUUGUUUGAGUUCUGUUUCUAUGAGUAUCUGGAAUCAUUUUUUUCUGGAGAACUUCCGAAUAUACACCACUCCCAGUACCACACUGUGUAAUGAAGGGGUGGGGACAGGGGCCUCUUGAAAUAACGUUUUCUAAAGGUAUUUAAUUUCAAGGUUACCAGUCUCUGAACCCACCAUGAUAGGACGGAAGUCUUCUCAAAGUGAAAAUAGCAAUAAAAUCUGAGAACUAUGAUUUCUAAUGAAUAAACUUGAAAACCUUUUAAAAAUCAAGCAGUAACGUGUGGAUGAAAGUCAUCUUAAUGCAAAUGUACUAUCCCUACAGGCCUCAGCGGGUACUUGAUACGGCAUCAUUCAGAUAGAGCCCCCUGGCUGUCCACUGUCACGGCUGCUUUAAUAACCUCGGCGUUGACUGUGGCCCACAAAUACACUAAAACAUUUUUAAACAGACAAUUUAUAAAUGACUUAACUUUAUUACCCACUUUUUUUUUCUUUUUUUUUUGACACGGAGUCUCGCUCUGUCGCCCAGGCUGGCGUGCAGUGGCUGGAUCUCAGCUCACUGCAUCCUCUGCCUCCUGGAUUCAAGCAAUUCUCUGCCUCGGCCUCCCGAGUAGCUGGGAUUACAGGCACCCACCACCACGCCCAGCUGAUUUUUGUAUUUUUAGUAGAGACAGGGUUUUAUUAUCUUGGUCACGCUGGUCUUGAACUGCUGAACUCAUGAUCCACCUGCCUUAGCCUCCCAAAGUGCUGAGAUUACAGGCGUUAACCACCACACCUGGCCUAACCAUACCUAAAAAAGGUAGGCUGAGUGUUUGAAUAUGUGGGCCGGGCGCGGUGGCUCACGUCUGUAAUCCCAGCAUUUUGGGAGGCCAAGGCGGGCAGAUCACCUGAGGUCAGGAGUUUGAGACCAGCCUGGCCAACAUAGCAAAACCCUAUCUCUAUUAAAAAUACAAAAUGUAGCCAGGCGUGGUGGGGGCAUGCCAGUAGUCCCAGCUGCUUGGGAGGCUGAGGCAGUAGAAUUGCCUGAACUUGGUGGGUGGAGGUUGUGGGGAGCUGAGAUUGCACCAUUGCACUCCAUCCAGCCUGCCAACAAGAGCGAAACUCCAUCUCAAAAAAAAAAAGCAAAAGUAUAAUGUGUAGAUGUUUUUCAGUAAAUGCAUUUUGUCAUAUCUUAAAAUUCUGCUGGGUAUGGGAGUUUAGGAUUAUGUUCAGCCUCGAGGAAUAGAGGCUACCAUGCGGCUGAAACACUCUUGUGAGUGUAGCCAGUCCAGGACUGUUACGAUAGACAGCUCUGCAGUCCUCCUGGUCCCAGGCUCCUGCUAUCUUCUCCAUAUGGCUUCCACCAAGGUGGAAUUACAGUUCCAUCAGAAUCUGAGGGUGGGACCCAAGCAUCCUGUUUUUUUUUUAAGUUUUCAGGGAUCCUAAUGUGCAGUAACGUUUGAGAAGCACUGGUGAAGCGGUUCAAAAUAAGGACUCUAGCUAGAGUCAAAGGCUGUGUGACUUUGGACAAGUUAAUGAACCUUUUUCCUCAUCUGUAAAAGGAGAAUGAGUACCUACCUUGUGUGGUUACUGUGAAGAUUACAUAAUACAUGGAAAGUACUUAGACUGGUGUCUGAGACAUAGCAUUCAGUACAUUUUCAUGGUCUCCUGAUUACGUUUCUGGAAAUUACUAGAGUUUGUCAAUGCCCUUCCUAAAAUGCAGAGCCCAGGGCUAGACCCCAUUCUGUUCCCUGGGACAUAGGCAUCCCCGGGGAAGGGACUGUGUCUGUGUUCCCAGUGCCCCAGCGGGCCCAGCUUCACCUCCAGCCAUCAUGUCUGUUCCACCAGUGGGAAGGAACAAGGGGAGAAGAGGAUGGCCUCUGCCUUUGAAGACACUUUCAAUUUCUACCUAUAGCCAAUGGCCACACUUUGAAAGAACACCAGCUGCUGGGAAAUAGUCUCGAUUUUAAGCAGGAAAGAAGGUGUGAUGAGGUGAUAAUCAGCAAGGACUUACUGAAGGCCUUAGGACUUCCGAAGGAAUUAUAAAGCAGCUGGGGAGGUGACCCGGCCUGGACAGAAUUGCACAGCCCGGCAUCGAGAACCGGCAAAGCCUCGGUCCUGUGUAGCAGGGACAGAGCAGGACUGGGUGAGCCGUGACUCUGUUCCUGAGACCAACCGUCUCGAACGUAGUUACACCAGCGGCCUGCUGGUUCAUCGCCCAGAAUGUUCUGGAUACUCCUUUGGAUCUUGCCUUCAUAUGCUUUUGUUUUCUACAGUAUGAAUUAAGAGAUUAAAAGGUAAUGCACUUA